GAGAGCUCUCUCUCUCUCUCUCUGCUUAUAUAUUUUUAUAUAAUUGUAAGUGAAGUUUGGAAGGACUCAUGUGAGUUUAUAUAUGCUCUGUUUAUUUCUUGACGAACAAGCUGUGACUUGUUUGAGAGAAAGAGAAAAUGGAUGCCAUGAAAUUAAUAACUACUACUUCGUAAAAUUUGUGAAAAAUAGUCUUUUUGUUGUUGUUGUUAG